GGGUUAAAUUAAUAAAUUAGGGUUAAUAAAAGAAAUUUUAAUAUUAAAAAGAAAUUGGGGGUUAAAGUAUUUUUAAUAGAAAAAAUUUAAAGUUUUAUAGUGAAAUAUUACUGUAAAGGAAAUUAUAAAUAAUUGAAAUUUAAUUGUUGGAAAAGUAAAUUUAAUUUAUUGUAUCUUGUGUAUCAGAGUUUAUUAAAUAUUUAUUAUUUAUUUAAAUAAAUCUCGAAUUUAAAAGAGUUAAUUAAUUAAAAAAGUUAAUGUUGAAUAAUUAUUUUAAAUAAUUAAUUAGAAAUGAAAUGUUAAUCGUUUUUAAAUAUAUCUAGUUUUUUUAGAAAUAGAUUUAAUUUAGAAUUUAAAUAAUUUUAUAAUUUUUUAUUUAAUUAUAAAAAUUUAAAAUUUAAUAUUUUAGGGGAUAAGCUUUAAAUUAAAAUCUUAUAAUUAGUUAAAUUAAAAUUAAAAUUUUUAAUAUUUAUAUUGUUUAAAAAUUAUAGUUUAUUAUAAAAAAUUUUAAUUAAAAUAAAAUUUAAUAAAAUUUAAAUUUUUAUAAAAAAAAAUAAUUUAUAAUUAAAUAAAUUUAGAAAUAAUGAUAAAAUUAGUAUAAUAUAAUUAUAUAAAUAAAAUUUAUUUAAAAGUAAUUUAAAGGAAUUCGGCAAAAUUUUAUAUUCACUUGUUUAUCAAAAACAUGUCUUUUUGAUAAUAAUUUAAAGUCUAAUCUGCCCACUGAUAUAAAUAUUAAAGGGCUGCAGUAUAUUGACUGUACAAAGGUAGCAUAAUCAUUAGUCUUUUAAUUGAAGACUUGUAUGAAAGAUUUGAUGAGAUAUAAUCUGUCUCUAUAUUAAUAAUAGAAAUUAAUUUUUUAGUUAAAAAGCUAAAAUAAUAUUAAAAGACGAGAAGACCCUAUAGAGUUUUAUAAUUUAUAUAAUUAAUAUAAAAUUUAUAAUUAAAUAUAUUAAUUAAUUAAAUUAUUGUAUUGGGGUGAUAAAAAAAUUUAAUAAACUUUUUUAAUAUAUUUACAUAAAUAAUUGAAUAAGUGAUCCAUUUUUAAUGAUUAAAAGAAAAAGUUACCUUAGGGAUAACAGCGUAAUAUUUUUUUUUAGUACGAAUAAAAAAAAAAGUUUGCGACCUCGAUGUUGGAUUAAGAUAAAAUUUAAAUGCAAAAGUUUAAAAUUUUGAUCUGUUCGAUCAUUAAAAUCUUACAUGAUCUGAGUUCAAACCGGUGUGAGCCAGGUUGGUUUCUAUCUUUAAUAAAAUAAAAUAUUUUAGUACGAAAGGAUCAAAUAUUUGAAAUAAUUUUAUAAAUGGAAUAUUAAUAAUUAGGUUUU
rnacentral:rRNA from 1 species